AGUUUUGGAGAGAGGGGCGACCAUCCAUUUUCCCCUGGCAUUCAUGUCGCCCGUUCCCCAUUCCUCUUCGACAGGCGCUCCUCCCAGCGGCGGCGAUUUCUGGAGAGUGAGAAGGGAGAGAAACGCCAUUGGAGAUGCUUUGCCCAGAUUGCUCUUCACACUGUCAGAGUGCAAAUGGCCGAAGCUUCAGCUUGCAUCUUCAUGAUGCCGAUGAAACCUUUGUGGUUAUCUGUUGACUCACAAAUAGGUAGCCUUUUUCUGUACUGUUAGAAUCUGCAUGUUUUUUUUUCAUUUACAGGGGUGUUUCUGCAUGUUUUCCAAAAGAAGAGUACAGGAUCUUUUUUUCCCUCCAAAUAUCCACCUAUCGUUAUUUGUGUGGCUCUGCUAUGUUUUUCGCCUGCACCGUUUGAAUCGGUGGGGGAGAGAGACAGAAGGGAGCAAAGAAGAGGGUGAGAAGCUCCAAGACGAUGGCAUGUGACGUCGCCGCCGCCGAGAUCCGUGGCAUCGGGAGCAUCCCCGAAGACUUCGCGUCCGCCGUUCCCACGGUGGUCGUCCAGCCCUGCGCGCCCGACGAGCACCGCGGCAUCCGCAUCUUCACCGAGCAGUCUGCGACGGACGAGCCUCCUGCUAUGGGCGCCGCUCCCGAGCUCUGCGCCGGACGCUCC